rnacentral:rRNA from 1 species
UUGUCUCAAAGAUUAAGCCAUGUAUGUCUCAGUACAAGCCAAAUUAAGGUGAAGCCGCGAAAGGCUCAUUAAAUCAGUUAUGGUUCCUUAGAUCGUACCCACAUUUACAUGGAUAACUGUGGUAAUUCUAGAGCUAAUACAUGCAAACAGAACUCCAACCGGAGACGGAAGGAGUGCUUUUAUUAGAUCAAAGCCAAUCGGCGUCUGGGUUCGCCCGUUCGCCGCCCUCAUUGGUGACUCUGAAUAACUUUUGGCUGAUCGCACGGUCUUGCACCGGCGACGCAUCUUUCAAAUGUCUGCCUUAUCAACUGUCGAUGGUAGGUUCUGCGCCUACCAUGGUUGUAACGG